rnacentral:rRNA from 1 species
GUGGGGAAUAUUGGGCAAUGGGGGCAACCCUGACCCAGCGACGCCGCGUGGGUGAAGAAAUCCCUCGGGAUGUAAAGCCCUGUUGUAUGGGAAGAGCAGAAGACGGUACCAUACGAGGAAGCCCCGGCAAACUACGUGCCAGCAGCCGCGGUAAUACGUAGGGGGCAAGCGUUGUCCGGAAUUACUGGGCGUAAAGCGCACGCAGGCUGAAUUAUAAGUCGGUAGUCAAAUACGGAGGCUCAACUUCCGGAUAUCUAUCGAUACUGUAAAUCUAGAGUAUGGGAGAGGGAAGCGGAAUUCCCGGGGUAGCGGUGAAAUGCGUAGAUAUCGGGAGGAACACCAGUGGCGAAGGCGGCUUUCUGGACGGUGUCUGACACUGAGGCGCGAAAGCCAGGGGAGCGAACGGGAUUAGAUACCCCUGUAGUCC